AAAGAAAGGUCACGUGUGGAAGCUGUACCCCAUCCGGGGCAACACCGCCUCCAUCCACUUCCCCGGAAAGCCUGACUUCCUCCUGACCCUGGAAUGGCUGACAUUAAGCCCCAGGAGGAGGACUUGACCUCUGACCCCUACCCUCUCUCUCUGGCCUCAGGUGAGGGAGAUUCUGGGCUGCUGCACCUGCCCUGACCAGUUCCCCAUGAUCAAGGUCUCAGAGGGGAAGUACCGUGUGGGGGACUCGAGCCUGCUCAUCUUUGUGCGGGUGCUGAGAAGCCACGUGAUGGUGCGAGUGGGUGGUGGCUGGGACACGCUGGAGCAUUACCUGGACAAGCACGACCCGUGCCGCUGCUCCUCCACUGCUCACCGCCCACCCCAGCCGAGGGUCUGCACCUUUUCUCCACAGAGGGUGUCACCCACCCCCAGUCCCCGCCCUGCUAGCCCAGUCCCUGGGAGUGAGCGCCGGGGCUCCCGGCCUGAGAUGACUCCCGUUAGCUUACGAAGCACAAAGGAGGGGCCCGAGACCCCACCCAGGUGAGAUGCAGGAGGAUGAGGAGUGAGGGGUCCAGAGGGUGGGGGGGCGUCAGCCCUGGCCUGCAUGAUGGGUUGCCUGUGCACCAGAGUGACUCACACCCUGGGAAAA
rnacentral:sRNA from 1 species